UCUCUGUCUCCUAACUUCAUAAUUGCAUUGAUGUCAGUGGAGUCAUUUUUGUAACUUUCCCUAUGUUUGACAGCCACACUUCAGGAUAGUCAGACAGGGCAGACGGUGAAUCUUCAGAAGAAGAUUGAGGGUCUUUACCUCAGUGUGAAACAGAGGAAACACUACCUCUAUCGUUUGAUAGGUAAGCACCAACAACAAUAUGACCUCAAACAUUAUUAAUCAAGCAGUAAAACUGAUUUGUGAAAGAAAAUGCAUUUGUCAUCAUAUCAGACCAUGUUUAUGAUCAAAUGUAGGCAUGACGUAUGUUAUUCAUUGAUCUAAUGCAAAACAUUUCAUUAAACUGAGAAAUUACGUGACCAUAAACAACAGAUUAUCUUGUGAGCCACAACUCUGCAUGCCUUGUACAGUAUAUCAUAAUUCUAUGACAGAUCUGUCAGAGUGGAUUCUCAUCUCUUCACCCAAUAGACACAGUUAUACUAAGUCAUACUUAAGUUCCCCACAAUUUUUAAUGCAUCAGUAUUUACACUCCAAUAUAUUAAACUAUUUAUUGUGAUUCUUUGGCGUCACAUUUUGGUUUCUAGUUUCUUUUGUCCAUGGCUGUGCCACAGCUGUAUGGUUGCGCCCCGACAGUGACAAGUGGCAAGCAGGACAUCCUGAUUGGAAUAAAAAAGCUGCCACAACCUGUCCGUUCCUCCUCUGAACUGCUCCGGGUGUCUGAGACAUUGGACAGUGGGGCUGGACGAACCUGUAAAGAGUGGCUACUGGCCAGCCACCGUGACUCACCAGACCAUCUUCACAGUGGACCUCUUCAAGUCCUUUGAAGACAUGAAGGUGUUGGCCCCAGGAUUCUCCCGUCAAGCCUUUGUGGGAAUGCUUGAUGGAAGAACUAAGCACUUUGGCAGGAGUGGAAAGAUAUGUGGUGACACAUUCCAGAAGGCAUUCUUUGAGUGGACUUUACGGCACGGCUUGAAAUAGACAAGUUUUGUGUAAGCGAUCUCCUCCAAUGUCAUGCCUGGAUAGGAUGGGAAUCACAAGCAAUAAAGCCUCAAGGUUUGUACUACCUUCUUAUGUGUUGGAUGUUUUGUUCAGGGAAUAAUUAUACCUUCUUAAAGUGCAUGCUGUUCUUCUUUUUGUAAUAAAGUAUAUGUUUGUGGUGAUUGUGGUGGUUAAUUUCUGUAUUACCAAAUGAGGAGAGAGACAAACUUC